UUCGUAGGUGGUGCGGCAAGUUGGGAGUGAAAUCUCUGGGCUUAACCCAGAGGCUGCUUUCAAAACUGCCGCGCUCGAGUGCGAGAGAGGUCAGUGGAAUUGCAGGUGUAGCGGUGAAAUGCGUAGAUAUCUGCAGGAACACCCGUGGCGAAGGCGGCUGACUGGAUCGCAACUGACACUGAGGAACGAAAGCUAGGGGAGCAAACAGGAUUAGAUACCCUGGUAGUCCUAGCCCUAAACCAUCGGAACUUGGGGUGGCUCGCGUAGGCGGGUCGUCCCGUAGCUAACGCGUUAAGUUCCGCGCCUGGGGAGUACGGUCGCAAGACUGAA
rnacentral:rRNA from 1 species